rnacentral:rRNA from 1 species
GAGUUUGAUCCUGGCUCAGGACGAACGCUGGCGGCGCGCCUAACACAUGCAAGUCGAACGAGCGAGAGAGAGCUUGCUUUCUCGAGCGAGUGGCGAACGGGUGAGUAACGCGUGAGGAACCUGCCUCAAAGAGGGGGACAACAGUUGGAAACGACUGCUAAUACCGCAUAAGCCCACAGGUCGGCAUCGACCAGAGGGAAAAGGAGCAAUCCGCUUUGAGAUGGCCUCGCGUCCGAUUAGCUGGUUGGUGAGGUAACGGCCCACCAAGGCGACGAUCGGUAGCCGGACUGAGAGGUUGAACGGCCACAUUGGGACUGAGACACGGCCCAGACUCCUACGGGAGGCAGCAGUGGGGAAUAUUGCACAAUGGGGGAAACCCUGAUGCAGCGACGCCGCGUGGAGGAAGAAGGUCUUCGGAUUGUAAACUCCUGUUGUUGAGGAAGAUAAUGACGGUACUCAACAAGGAAGUGACGGCUAACUACGUGCCAGCAGCCGCGGUAAAACGUAGGUCACAAGCGUUGUCCGGAAUUACUGGGUGUAAAGGGAGCGCAGGCGGGAAGACAAGUUGGAAGUGAAAUCUAUGGGCUCACCCAUAAACUGCUUUCAAAACUGUUUUUCUUGAGUAGUGCAGAGUAGGCGGAAUUCCCGGUGUAGCGGUGGAAUGCGUAGAUAUCGGGAGGAACACCAGUGGCGAAUGCGGCCUACAGGGCACCAACUGACGCUGAGGCUCGAAAGUGUGGGUAGCANACAGGAUUAGAUACCCUGGUAGUCCACACCGUAAACGAUGAUUACUAGGUGUUGGAGGAUUGACCCCUUCAGUGCCGCAGUUAACACAAUAAGUAAUCCACCUGGGGAGUACGACCGCAAGGUUGAAACUCAAAGGAAUUGACGGGGGCCCGCACAAGCAGUGGAGUAUGUGGUUUAAUUCGACGCAACGCGAAGAACCUUACCAAGUCUUGACAUCCCUUGACGAUGCUGGAAACAGUAUUUCUCUUCGGAGCAAGGAGACAGGUGGUGCAUGGUUGUCGUCAGCUCGUGUCGUGAGAUGUUGGGUUAAGUCCCGCAACGAGCGCAACCCUUACUGUCAGUUACUACGCAAGAGGACUCUGGCAGGACUGCCGUUGACAAAACGGAGGAAGGUGGGGAUGACGUCAAAUCAUCAUGCCCUUUAUGACUUGGGCUUCACACGUACUACAAUGGCGUUAAACAAAGAGAAGCAAGACCGCGAGGUGGAGCAAAACUCAGAAACAACGUCCCAGUUCGGACUGCAGGCUGCAACUCGCCUGCACGAAGUCGGAAUUGCUAGUAAUCGUGGAUCAGCAUGCCACGGUGAAUACGUUCCCGGGCCUUGUACACACCGCCCGUC